rnacentral:rRNA from 1 species
AGCGAACGCUGGCGGCAGGCCUAACACAUGCAAGUCGAACGGUGAAGCAGAGCUUGCUCUGUGGAUCAGUGGCGAACGGGUGAGUAACACGUGAGCAACCUGCCCUGGACUCUGGGAUAAGCGCUGGAAACGGCGUCUAAUACUGGAUACGAGACGUGGCCGCAUGGUCAACGUUUGGAAAGAUGUUUUGGUUCAGGAUGGGCUCGCGGCCUAUCAGCUUGUUGGUUAGGUAAUGGCUCCCCAAGGCGUCGACGGGUGGCCGGGCUGAGAGGGUGACCGGCCACACUGGGACUGAGACACGGCCCAGACUCCUACGGGAGGCAGCAGUGGGGAAUAUUGCACAAUGGGCGAAAGCCUGAUGCAGCAACGCCGCGUGAGGGAUGACGGCCUUCGGGUUGUAAACCUCUUUUAGCAAGGAAGAAGCGAAAGUGACGGUACUUGCAGAAAAAGCGCCGGCUAACUACGUGCCAGCAGCCGCAGUAACAC